rnacentral:rRNA from 1 species
GACGUAGGGCGCGAGCGUUGUCCGGAUUUAUUGGGCGUAAAGAGCUCGUAGGCGGCUUGACGCGUCGUCCGUGAAAACCUGCAGCUCAACUGCAGGCUUGCGGUCGAUACGGGCAGGCUAGAGUUCGGUAGGGGAGACUGGAAUUCCUGGUGUAGCGGUGAAAUGCGCAGAUAUCAGGAGGAACACCGGUGGCGAAGGCGGGUCUCUGGGCCGAUACUGACGCUGAGGAGCGAAAGCGUGGGGAGCGAACAGG